rnacentral:rRNA from 1 species
CUUGUUCAGGCGUCGAGCGGCGGACGGGUGAGUAAUACUUAGGAAUCUACCUAGUAGUGGGGGAUAGCACGGGGAAACUCGUAUUAAUACCGCAUACGACCUACGGGAGAAAGGGGGCAGUUUACUGCUCUCGCUAUUAGAUGAGCCUAAGUCGGAUUAGCUAGAUGGUGGGGUAAAGGCCUACCAUGGCGACGAUCUGUAGCUGGUCUGAGAGGAUGAUCAGCCACACCGGGACUGAGACACGGCCCGGACUCCUACGGGAGGCAGCAGUGGGGAAUAUUGGACAAUGGGGGAAACCCUGAUCCAGCCAUGCCGCGUGUGUGAAGAAGGCCUUUUGGUUGUAAAGCACUUUAAGCAGUGAAGAAGACUCCACGGUUAAUACCCGUGGACGAUGACAUUAGCUGCAGAAUAAGCACCGGCUAACUCUGUGCCAGCAGCCGCGGUAAUACAGAGGGUGCAAGCGUUAAUCGGAAUUACUGGGCGUAAAGCGAGCGUAGGUGGCUUGAUAAGUCAGAUGUGACAUCCCCCGGGCUUAACCUGGGAACUGCAUCUGAAACUGUUAGGCUAGAGUAGGUGAGAGGGAAGGUAGACUUCCAGGUGUAGCGGUGAAAUGCGUAUAGAUCUGGAAGAAUACCGAUGGCGAAGGCAGCCUUCUGCCA